GAAUCUGCUAGCGCUGUCUGUCCGGCUUACACACCUGCAGCGCCCCAGGGGAAGAGCGCGGCUCAGACCCCACACCCCUGACGCACUUAACUUCGAGGAAACGAGGAACAAUUAGACGUGAGGAACCUUUCAGAGAUCACAGAGUGUGGAGUUAUUACCCGGCCGUAACAAAACACUGUCGCUGCAGUUCCACCGCUCCAUCUAAACACCAACCAAACCUGUCAUCUCCAGGCAAUUAUCAACAAGUCAAAUUGGCAGGAAUUUAAUUUACAGUGCCACACUUAAAAUAAGGGAAUGAUGUUUAGUCUACAAUCCCAAUGAACGCCUUAGUGUUUUUGCACUCCGUAUCAAAUGAGCUUGAUGGUUAUACGGGAUUAAUUGUUGUUUUUGGAAUAACAGUAUCUGUAGCUACUGGUCUGUUUGUGUGUGUGCGUAUGCGCAUGCUAACUUUUUUUUUUUUUUUUGCGCACGCAUGUGUGAUCUGCAGCACCUGGGACAUCAGGCACACCAGGAACGGUCUCUUUCCCAGAGUGCCGCGCAGCAGUGCCCGCCUAGCUUUGGCACCUCAGCUGUCAGCCCGCUCUGCUGAUGAGGAGAAUGUGUGGGGCGAUGAAGUCGAUAAUGAAGACCAGCUUGGAUUAUAGUUCCCCAACAAACAUGGUGUACAGUAAAGACAGAUGUUUUGGCUGUGAACACGUCGUCCACAAUAGAUGACGGUGAUCUAAUGAGAGAAGCCAAGCUGGCUGUACAGAUGGCCGUCCUGAGGUGGCUAUAACAUCCAGUAAGAAAGAUGUCAUAAGAUCUGCCUCCAAGGCCCCUAUUAGAAGAAUCAGACAAUUAAACGCCAUUUAGAAACUCACUGGUACAUAUGUAUACACAGUGUGGCAGUUAAACACCAAUAAAUGAUGCUAAAAUACUGCAUAAUUAGUACAUUUAGAUUAUCUAAAGGCAAUUCAAAUGAUGUUCAUUAUUGCAAUUCUAAUGUGUCUCAGAAGACGAAUCGGUUUCCUAGUGGAGCUCUAAUUUAAUAACCAAAUCUCCUCCUGACCAAGCAAAAAAAUAAUGAGUGUGUUUACUGUGAAGUACAAUUUAGAAAUGACUAAAGUCCAUGUCAGUUGCAGUUUGCAACCUAUUUUGCCUCUGUGAUGAAGUGCAACACGUUAUUGAGAACAAAUGUAGGUCAGGACUUGAUUUUAUCCAUCAGGAAUGAAUUGGACCUUGAGAACUGGGCGUUACAAACCAGAAUUUGCUGCUUACAUUAUUGGUUAACAUUAUCCAUCAGCUCACUCAAGGUUUUUGUUUUAACAUGCACUAAACAAAUGUGCAUAAUAAGGCACAGAACAUCUAAGAUAAUAAUAUAAUCCAUCAGUG
ensembl:lncRNA